rnacentral:rRNA from 1 species
AGAACGAACGCUGGCGGCGUGGAUAAGACAUGCAAGUCGAGCGCUGAUUAAAGGGUAGCAAUAUCUUUUAAUUGGAGCGGCGCAAGGGUGCGUAACACGUGGGUAAUUUGCCAUGAAGUUGGGGAUAACUUGCUGAAAGGCGAGCUAAUACCGAAUGUGGCCCGACGGAGACAUCUCUGUUUGGCUAAAGCUGGGGACCGCAAGGCCUGACGCUUCAUGAUAAACCCGCGGCCUAUCAGCUAGUUGGUGAGGUAACGGCCCACCAAGGCUAAGACGGGUAGCUGGUCUGAGAGGACGACCAGCCACACUGGAACUGAGAGACGGUCCAGACACCUACGGGUGGCAGCAGUCGAGAUUUUCAC